CCUACGGGAGGCAGCAGGGGGGAAUAUUGCACAAUGGGGGAAACCCUGAUGCAGCGACGCCGCGUGAGUGAAGAAGUAUUUCGGUAUGUAAAGCUCUAUCAGCAGGGAAGAAAUAGCGACCUUUGGGUCGCCAGACGGUACCUGACUAAGAAGCCCCGGCUAACUACGUGCCAGCAGCCGCGGUAAUACGUGGGGGGCAAGCGUUAUCCGGAUUUACUGGGUGUAAAGGGAGCGUAGACGGCAGCACAAGUCUGAAGUGAAAUGCCGGGGCUUAACCCCGGAACUGCUUUUGAAACUGUGCAGCUAGAGUGCAGGAGAGGUAAGUGGAAUGCCUAGUGUAGCGGUGAAAUGCGUAGAUAUUAGGAGGAACACCAGUGGCGAAGGCGGCUUACUGGACUGUAACUGACGUUGAGGCUCGAAAGCGUGGGGAGCAAACAGGAUUAGAUACCCCAGUAGUC
rnacentral:rRNA from 1 species